CAGCACAUGCCUGGCUCUGGGGAGUGCCGUGACAGUAAGCAAGCCUGGAUCUGAGAGAGAUAUCAUCUUGCAAGGAUGCCUGCUUUACAAACAUCCUUGAAACAACAAUCCAGAAAAAAAAAGGUGUUGCUGUCUUUGCUCAGAAGACACACAGAUACGUGACAGAACCAUGGAGAAUUGCCUCCCAACACUGUUCAGCCAGAGCCUUCCACCCUUGUCUGCAGGACAGUCUCAACGUUCC
rnacentral:lncRNA from 10 species